AAAAUAGCACGCUAGAGAGAGAAACAAGAGAGAGAAAAGCCAGAUAGAGAAAGACAGAGAGAGAGAGAGAGAAUGCUCUGAGUUUCUCUUUCAGAGACUAGUAGACAGAGAAAGAGAGUGUGUGUGACUCUGUGAGAGUGUGCGAUGAUGAUGCGAAGAAGAACCAAACAACGAAAAAACAAAACGGUAUUCACAAAUCUGCGCGAACCUCUCAAUCUCAUUUCCUGAGAAUUCUCUUUCACUGCGCUGCGUUUUGUCUCCGCCACCGUCGUCGUUUCGGCUUCUCAAAAGCAUUUCGCGCGCGAGGGAGAUAAAGAUAUGAGUCGUUUAGGGUUCAAGCACGAGGUUUACGACGGCGACAAGCACGUUGGCGAACUCGACGUGAUUCCUCUGUCGUCGUCGUCGUCGACGACGACGCCGUUUCACAAUAGCUUCCGCUUCCCGAACAACGAGAUUCGCAUCCACCACUUCAGCGCAAAGAGCGAGCGCUGCCCUCCGCUCUCGAUCCUCCAAACCGUUGCCGCAUUCAACGUCCGCUGCAAGCUCGAUUCCUCAGUCGCCACCGAGCAAAAGGAACUAAUCGCCAUCCACGCCAGUUGCUUCUACGAAAUGAAGACGGCAGUGGUGGUGGUGAACGACGAGGAGAUUCACCUCGUCUCGAUGCCGAGCAAGAGGAAGAAGUUCCCGUGCUUCUGGUGCUUCGCGGUGCCGUUGGGGCUCUACGACGCGUGCUUGGCGAUGCUGAACCUGAGGUGUCUCGCGAUUGUGUUCGAUUUGGACGAGACGCUCAUCGUGGCGAACACGAUGAAGUCGUUCGAGGAUAGGAUUGAGGCCCUGAGGGGGUGGCUUUUGCGCGAGACCGAUCCGUUGCGGGUCCAGGGGAUGUCCUCGGAGCUUAAGAGGUACCUCGAGGACCGGUUGUUGCUGAAGCAGUACGCGGAGAGUGACACUGUUGUUGAUAAUGGGAAGGUGUAUAAGGUUCAGAUGGAGGAGGCACCACCGCUGUCCGGUAGCCACGAGAAACUGGUUCGGCCAGUUGUCCGGUUGCAGGAGAGGAAUAUUGUCCUCACGAGGAUUAAUCCUGAGAUUCGUGAUACUAGUGUAUUAGUGAGAUUACGACCUGCUUGGGAGGAUUUAAGAAGCUAUUUAACUGCUAAAGGACGCAAGAGGUUUGAAGUAUAUGUUUGUACUAUGGCUGAAAGGGAUUAUGCUUUGGAAAUAUGGAGGCUUCUUGACCCCGGGGCACAUCUUAUAGGUUCAAAGCAAGUCCUUAAUCGUGUGAUUUGUGUCAAAUCAGGCUCCCGAAAAUCCUUACUAAAUGUUUUCCAAGAUGGUGUGUGCCAUCCCAAAAUGGCAAUGGUGAUUGAUGAUCGGUCAAAGGUUUGGGAAGACAAGGACCAGCCUAGGGUUCAUGUUGUGCCUGCCUUUACUCCUUAUUAUGCUCCUCAAGCAGAGACGGCCAAUGCUGUCCCAGUCCUAUGUGUAGCAAGAAAUGUUGCAUGCAAUGUCAGAGGUUGUUUUUUCAAAGAGUUUGAUGAGAGUUUAUUACAAAGAAUUGCUGAAAUCUUCUUUGAAGAUGAUAUUGGACUUUUACCUCACCCUCCAGAUGUCAGCAACUACUUGAUGUCUGAGGAUGUACCGAAUGGUAAUGCUAAUGCCCCCAUCAGUGAAGGAAUCAAUGGUGCAGAAGUGGAACGAAGGUUAAGCCAACCUGAUGAUAAAUUUUCGGUUGAUUUAGUCACCCGACCCAUGACAAACAGUGUUGAAUUCAGACAUGAAACCUCUCAGCCAACUGCUGGUAUUAUUUCAAAUGUCACUGGCCCUGCAUCUUCAAGAACAUUGAUUCCUUCUCAGAAACCUGGUUUGCUUGGACCUCCUGUCAAGCAUGACGGCAACUCUGUUGAUCGUGAUUAUGACAUGAGAAAAGGACUUUUAGGCAUGAGGCAUGGUCCAGAUAUAAGAGGUCAAAUUUCAGCUGAACCUCCUCUGAUAUCAAGGCCACCUAAUCAAACAUCACCAUCUUUAAUUCAGCCAUUUGGAGGUGGGUUGGUAGAAGAUGAUAUAGCCAGCAGAACUCAGACAAAUAGUUGGCCUUCUGCAUCUUUUAAAGAAUCUAAUGUAAUAAAGUCUGAUAAGCAUCAGGCUCAACAGAAACCAUUUUCUCAUAGUGUCAUAGGUUCAUCUCCCAAUGUUUUACCCCCACAAGCAUCACAAGUAAAGACUGAAGAGGCAACUUCUGUUUCUGAUUUGCAGAGGCAUAUUGCUCCAUCUAAGUCUCAGCUAUCAUCGGAGGAUGGGAUAUCUCAGAAUCAUGCCACUUCUAACAGCAAAGAUUUUCAAAAUGAAGCUGGAAAAGUGAACUUCUUACCCUCUCUAUCUAUCCAAGUGCUGCAAGAAAUUGGGAGGCGAUGUAACUCUAAGGUUGAAUUUAAGACUAUUUUAAGCACCAGCAAAGACUUGCAGUUUUCAGUGGAGGUACUAUUCACUGGCGAGAAAAUAGGUGUUGGUAUGGCUAGGACAAGGAAAGAUGCUCAACAACAAGCUGCAGAGAAUGCUCUUCGCAGCUUAGCAGAGAAGUAUGUGGCACAUGUGGAGCCACAAUGUAGAGCUGUGGAUAAAGAUUUUGACAAGCUUUCUCUUGGACGUGACAAUGGUUUCUUGUGGGAUGUGGUCAAUCUGGAAUCCAGUGAACUGCAACCAGAAGAUGGAGUGCCUAGAGAAAAUGCUUCUGAGCAUCAAUGUGAAGGCUAAAAUCACUGAAUGGGGAGUGAACUGGCUUCACGUCUGCUACUGCUGUCUUAGACAGGCUUCUUAAAUUCCUGCUUAUAAGGCUUUGGAUACUGAGACUAGGUCAAGUACCCCUAAUGCCAUUAAUCAGCAAAUGGACAAGCGUGUCAGCUCCCCGAGGAGAAUGCCGAAUUCUAUUCCCAGUAAACGAUUGAAGGAAUAAAACAGUUUCAAGAAACAAGAUUUACCAUUGGUGCAGCAACUGGAGAAUUGGCCAUCUGAAUUCUGGGAACGGCAUAUUAUCGUUUUAUACGCAAAAGGUUUUGAUGUAAUUUGCUCGUGUAAUAUCUCUGCCGUAGCGGUUGUAGAUAUGCUGAGGUAAUUUCCCUUGGCUAAAUUCUGAUAUAGAGAAGGGCUUUUUUUUUUGCCCUAUUUUCCUCAUUUUAGGAUGUUUUGUCUAGCCUCCUUCUCAAUGUCAUAUUAGUUCGAAUAUUAAUUACAAGAAAAUCAUUUCUCUUUUGUAAUUAAUCCGCUUUUGGUGGUCUAAUUUGCCAGUGUUGGCCCCUUUGGAUUUGACUGGUUAAGAUCACAUAACGUUGGCAUAGAAUUUUUUGGGUGUCAAUUUCAGACAAA